rnacentral:rRNA from 1 species
GACGAACGCUGGCGGCGUGCUUAACACAUGCAAGUCGAACAAUGAACCCGGAGCUUGCUCCGGUGGAUUAGUGGCGAACGGGUGAGUAACACGUGAGUAACCUGCCCUUGACUCUGGGAUAACUGCGGGAAACUGUAGCUAAUACCGGAUACGACCCUCGGCGGCAUCGCCAGGGGGUGGAAAGAAUUUCGGUCAAGGAUGGACUCGCGGCCUAUCAGCUAGUUGGUGAGGUAACGGCUCACCUAGGCGACGACGGGUAGCCGGCCUGAGAGGGUGACCGGCCACACUGGGACUGAGACACGGCCCAGACUCCUACGGGAGGCAGCAGUGGGGAAUAUUGCACAAUGGGCGCAAGCCUGAUGCAGCAACGCCGCGUGAGGGAUGACGGCCUUCGGGUUGUAAACCUCUUUUAGUAGGGAAGAAGCGAAAGUGACGGUACCUGCAGAAAAAGCACCGGCUAACUACGUGCCAGCCGCCGCGGUAA